GGGCAGCGCGGCACGUGCCGGGCUCGGCGGCACCAGACCCCCGAGGGUGUCGCGCGCUAGAACGCCCAACGGCCGGUCGGUUGGGCAGGACCCGGGACUCCAAGCCCGCUGCCUCCACCUCCUCCCUGCCGCCCCCGCCCAGCUGUCGUAGCAGCCCUGUCCUGCCCGCCCGCCCGGGCCCCCGCUACCUGGCACACGGCGCGGCGGAAGCCGCGGACCUUGGCAAUGAGGGGAAAUGGGGGAAAAGCGUAAAGAAGUUGGCCCGACCAUGAGAGGAAGGCGUCAGAGAUCGUAUUCCUCCCCACUCCCCCCAGGAACAGAACCUGUGGCAACGGCGGUUCUUCCUGGUCACAAACAGGUCUACUUGGGGGGAGCCCCACGCUCAGAAGAGCUGCCUGACAGGUGGAAGGUCUUCAGGGAGAUGUCAUGGACUAUACAAAACUCCCAGAGGUUGAGGGCUUCCAGGCAGAGGGCCGAAGACCACGUCCCGCCUUGCCUGUUGAUGUAAAACAUCGCGGCGGUGUUGUCCGAGGCCCAGUUUGACGCACGUGGCCAAGAGCAGGUCCACAUAAAUCUGAACCUGGAAUCGGGAGGUGCCUUUGAGCAGCCAAUCGUCAAGGUCCUUGCCGUCAAAGGGAAGAUCCUGCAUCACAGACUGUGCCUCUGCGGAGAGCCCGGACAGGAGUAGCCAUGAUGCCCUGCGCAUGGACACAGCCGAGGCCAUGGACCGAGCAGCCUUGUCAGCCGCAUCUGCUGCCACCUGCAGAGCAGCUUUUGUGGCAGCAGCACCCUCCUCCACCAGCACCUUAAAACUUUCACUCUCUGGAAGGGAGGGUUCGAAUUUUGGCAGUGAUCCCAAGUUAAACUCAUAAUGACUGAGGAGGGCCUGGUGGUUGGCCACCCUGAGCUGGAAGCUGGCGGACGAAUAAAGCUUCCUGCCAAGUGA